UCACUCAUAAAACCCAUCCCCCGGGGACCACUUCCUGUAUGGAGGCCCCACCCCCUAAAGGUUUUGCAGUGCUCCUCCCUGCUUAGCACCACCAGCUGCGAACCAAGUGAUCAAACACAGGAGCCUGGGGAGGUGAGUUUCCCAUUAAACCGGAAUGAACACUGAGGCCCAUCACGCAGCAUCCACUAGGCCCAUGAAGAGGAGCCAAUGUUAACUUUACUGUAGCGAGGUUCAGACGUUACUGUCAGGCAUGCCCAGCCACCACCCUCUUUCUGUGGCAAGCAGACUGCUCAGCCAAGCAUGGGUGCCUCACUGGUCUCCUGCCCUAAAAGAUCCUGUCCACAUUCAUCCAGAUCGCUGGUAGGUCACCGUCCCCACCCCCAUGGAUGAUCGGAAAUCCUGGGGCUACUCUGGAACCCUGUAGCAGUUCCAAGUUUCUGGUGACAGUGAGUGUAACCCCACUGAAAGCCCAGUUGUGACGUCUUCAUUCUGGAGUCUAAGCAACCCACACGGAAGUUCUGAGCCAAUGAUUAGUCUGUCAAUGAAUAAGCAGCCUCAAUUUUCCCCUCCUCUUAAAAGCUUCCCUUCUGACAUCACCUCACCAAAGCUGGCUUCAGCCCCAUGGCUGUUAUAAGGACCCUGCAUGGACUCCUGAGCAGAAAGCAAUAGAUUACUUUGACUUCAGUCAGCAGGCAGGCUAACUUAACAAGUCCAGGAAUGGCAAGGCUGGGCAGAGAAGUGCAGACACAUCCUCUGUAAGUGUGGCAGCUGUUAAUGGUUGCCAACUCAACAGAAUCUAACAUCAAGGAAGAGACAGGAUUCUGGGAGGAAGUUUCCAGAUUAAGCUAACUGAGGUGGGGAGCCCCACCCUGACUGAGGCUGGCAUCACCCCGAGGGCUGGAUCCCUAUGCCCUCCACCACAUCCGAGGCAAGCCAUGCCAGAUGAGCAACUUUGAUUCUCCAUUUCCUCUUCUCUGCGGCCAAGCUCUAAGAGUGGUAACACCUGGUCUUGUGUAGACACUGAGCACAGGGCCUUGACAUGUGCUUCUAGGACACCAGUGUCAUCUGUGUCACAGAAAAACAGACAGGUUGACGGCAGCACCAGGCUUGUUAGUGACCACAAAGACUCAUGGGACCCAGGCCAAGCUCACAGCCAGUGCCCUUCAGAUGACCAACUGGAAAUGUGGUCCUCCCAAGUGUGUCCCCACGACCCAAAAGAAACACAGAGAGUGAAAUUACCAGCUGUCAGCCAAGAGCCACGCAGGACCUCAUGAGAGCACUGCCCACGGUCACAGCUGGAAUGUGUUGGUGGUAGGGACUGUAAAGAGGGGUGCCCUCAUAUUUAAGAUGCUGUAGAAAGACAAGAUGUCCCCAUAAACAUGAUUGUCCCUAACGCAGAGAUCAGCUCCAAGUCAGAGACGGUGAGGGCAACCCUUAGAAGGGCCAAAAGUGACCAAGAUUUUGGAGAGAGAACCGAAGUCAAGGCCACCUCCCUCCGGCUGCAAAGGCCACACGUGCACAGGGCCUGGGGCCACCACCCCCACCUCACUGGCCCGGAUCCAUCUGCCGGCACUGUGUCUGCUGCUGUUUAGACAGCCUGCUAGGGUGGGUGGUCAGGUCUGAGCCAGGCAAAGUUUACAGAAGGCCCUGGCACAAAUGAACUGUUGAUGACCGACUGGAAGGGCUCCGUGAAAUCACAACAUGUAAAAUAUGGAAAGGGGAAUAAAGGAAAGA